rnacentral:ncRNA from 1 species
CAAAAGCUUGGUCCUGACUUUACUAUCAGCUACAGCCCAACUUAUACAUGCAAGUAUCCGCACCCCCGUGAGAAUGCCCUUAAUCCCCCACCCGGGGACGAGGAGCCGGCAUCAGGCACACCAUAGAUGGCCCAAGACGCCUUGCAACCGCCACACCCCCAAGGGAACUCAGCAGUAAUAAACAUUAAGCCAUAAGUGAAAACUUGACUUAAUUAAGGCUAUCAAAGAGUCGGUAAAACUCGUGCCAGCCACCGCGGUUAUACGAGAGACUCUAGUUGAUAAACACGGCGUAAAGGGUGGUUAGGGGUAUAAUACAAAUAAAGUCAAACACCCUCUAAGCCGUUAAAAGCAUUUUGAGAAUACGAAGUCCCACCACGAAAGUGACUUUACCCCCUCCUGACCCCACGAAAGCUAAGAAACAAACUGGGAUUAGAUACCCCACUAUGCUUAGCCUUAAACUCAGAUGUUAAUAAUACAAGAAACAUCCGCCCGGGUACUACAAGCGCUAGCUUAAAACCCAAAGGACUUGACGGUGUCUCAGACCCACCUAGAGGAGCCUGUUCUAGAACCGAUAAUCCACGUUAAACCUCACCACCCCUUGUUUCCUCAGCCUAUAUACCGCCGUCGCAAGCUUACCCUGUGAAGGGUAAACAGUAAGCAAAAUGGGUAUACCCCAAAACGUCAGGUCGAGGUGUAGCCUACGAGGUGGGAAGAAAUGGGCUACAUUUUCUACAUCAGAAUACACGAACGGCGCCAUGAAACUGGCUCCUAAAGGUGGAUUUAGCAGUAAAAAUCAAAUAGAGAGUCAUUUUGAAUUAGGCUCUGAGACGCGCACACACCGCCCGUCGCCCUCCCCAAUAUAGACCUAAUAAGUAUAUAACUAAAUAACCGCAAAAACGGGGAGAUAAGUCGUAACAUGGUAAGUGUACCGGAAGGUGUACUUGGAACAU